rnacentral:rRNA from 1 species
AUAAACGCUGGCGGCGCACAUAAGACAUGCAAGUCGAACGGAAGUCGUUAUAAAAAGGAUUGAAGAUUUAUCUGAUUGAGAUUUUAUAACAAUGGCUUUAGUGGCGGACUGGUGAGUAACGCGUGAGCAACCUGCCUACUAGAGGGGAAUAACAGUGAGAAAUCAUUGCUAAUACCGCAUAUGCCAUGAACAUCACAUGAUGAAAAUGGGAAAAGAGCAAUCUGCUAGUAGAUGGGCUCGCGUCUGAUUAGAUAGUUGGUGGGGUAACGGCCUACCAAGUCAACGAUCAGUAGCCGGACUGAGAGGUUGAACGGCCACAUUGGGACUGAGAUACGGCCCAGACUCCUACGGGAGGCAGCAGUCGGGAAUAUUGCGCAAUGGAGGAAACUCUGACGCAGUGACGCCGCGUAUAGGAAGAAGGUUUUCGGAUUGUAAACUAUUGUCGUUAGGGAAGAUAAAAGACAGUACCUAAGGAGGAAGCUCCGGCUAACUACGUGCCAGCAGCCGCGGUAAUACGUAGGGAGCAAGCGUUAUCCGGAUUUAUUGGGUGUAAAGGGUGCGUAGACGGGAUAGCAAGUUAGUUGUGAAAGCCCUCGGCUUAACUGAGGAACUGCAACUAAAACUAUUAUUCUUGAGUGUUGGAGAGGAAAGUGGAAUUCCUAGUGUAGCGGUGAAAUGCGUAGAUAUUAGGAGGAACACCGGUGGCGAAGGCGACUUUCUGGACAAUAACUGACGUUGAGGCACGAAAGUGUGGGGAGCAAACAGGAUUAGAUACCCUGGUAGUCCACACCGUAAACGAUGGAUACUAGGUGUAGGAAAUGAUUUCAUUUUCUGUGCCGUCGCAAACGCAAUAAGUAUCCCACCUGGGGAGUACGGCCGCAAGGUUGAAACUCAAAGGAAUUGACGGGGGCCCGCACAAGCAGUGGAGUAUGUGGUUUAAUUCGAAGCAACGCGAAGAACCUUACCAGGGCUUGACAUAUAGAUGAAUAACUAAGAGAUUAGUUAGUCCUUCGGGACAUCUAUACAGGUGGUGCAUGGUUGUCGUCAGCUCGUGUCGUGAGAUGUUAGGUUAAGUCCUGCAACGAGCGCAACCCCUGUGAUUAGUUACCAACAGGUAAAGCUGGGAACUCUAAUCAGACUGCCGGUGAUAAAUCGGAGGAAGGUGGGGAUGACGUCAAAUCAUCAUGCCCUUUAUGUCCUGGGCUACACCCGUACUACAAUGGCUGUAACAGAGAGAAGCAACACCGCGAGGUAGAGCGAAACUCCAAAAGCAGUCUCAGUUCGGAUUGAAGGCUGAAAUUCGCCUUCAUGAAGCCGGAAUUGCUAGUAAUGGCAGGUCAGCAUACUGCCGUGAAUACGUUCCCGGGCCUUGUACACACCGCCCGUCACACCAUGAGAGUUGGGAAUACCCGAAGCCUGUGAGCCAACUGUAAAGAGGCAGCAGUCGAAGGUAGAAUCAAUGAUUGGGGUG